rnacentral:rRNA from 1 species
GACGAACGCUGGCGGCGUGCUUAACACAUGCAAGUCGAACGGAAAGGCCCUGCUUUUGUGGGGUGCUCGAGUGGCGAACGGGUGAGUAACACGUGAGUAACCUGCCCUUGACUUUGGGAUAACUUCAGGAAAAUGGGGCGAAUACCGGAUAGGAGCUCCUGCUGCAUGGUGGGGGUUGGAAAGUUUCGGCUGUUGGGGAUGGACUCGCGGCUUAUCAGCUUGUUGGUGGGGUAGUGGCUUACCAAGGCUUUGACGGGUAGCCGGCCUGAGAGGGUGACCGGCCACAUUGGGCCUGCGAUACGGCCCAGACUCCUACGGGCGGCAGCAGUGGGGAAUAUUGCACAAUGGGCGGACGCCUGAUGCAGCAACGCCGCGUGCGGGAUGACGGCCUUCGGGUUGUAAACCGCUUUCGCCUGUGACGAAGCGUGAGUGACGGUAAUGGGUAAAGAAGCACCGGCUAACUACGUG